rnacentral:rRNA from 1 species
GCACAAGCGGUGGAGCAUGUGGUUUAAUUCGACGCAACGCGAAGAACCUUACCUGGGCUUGACAUCCCGGGAAUCCCUUGGAAACAAGGGAGUGCCCUUCGGGGAACCUGGAGACAGGUGCUGCAUGGCUGUCGUCAGCUCGUGUCGUGAGAUGUAGGGUUAAGUCCCGCAACGAGCGCAACCCUUGUCUUUAAUUGCCAUCAUUGAGUUGGGCACUUUAAAGAGACUGCCGGUGUUAAACCGGAGGAAGGUGGGGAUGACGUCAAGUCCUCAUGGCCCUUAUAGGUGGGGCUACACACGUCAUACAAUGGCCGGUACAGAGGGUAGCCAACCCGCGAGGGGGAGCCAAUCCCACAAAGCCGGUCGUAGUCCGGAUCGCAGUCUGCAACUCGACUGCGUGAAGUCGGAAUCGCUAGUAAUCGCGGAUCAGCAUGUCGCGGUGAAUACGUUCCCGGGUCUU